ACAAACCUACAUCUGCUUGUUACAUGCUUGUGCAGCACAAGGGCGCAUAGACCGAGUGUAUGCAAUUGUCCGUGAUAUGAAUGCAGCUGGUCUGGGAUUAAACAAGUUCUGCUAUGCUGGGCUUAUAGUUGCACACAAGAACAAAACACCUUUUACGGAUGAUUUUGAUGCAAAAGUUACCGAGUUUGUGGAGAGGUCGAAGAUAUGGUCUUCAGUAGAAACCGACAGUGCCAAUGCUGAGAAUGCGAUGGUGGGUGU